UACGAGGGGUGCAAGCGUUAAUCGGAAUUACUGGGCGUAAAGCGUUCGUAGGCGGUUGAAUAAGCAAGAUGUGAAAGCCCAGGGCUCAACCUUGGAACUGCAUUUUGAACUGUUCAACUAGAGUACUGUAGAGGUGGUGGAAGUUUCCAGUUGAGCGGUGAAAUGCGUAGAGAUUGGAAGGAACAUCAGUGGCGAAGGCG
rnacentral:rRNA from 1 species